GGGGGGGGGCCCUAUACAUGCCAGUCGAGCGAACAGAUAAGGAGCUUGCUCCUUUGACGUUAGCGGCGGACGGGUGAGUAACACGUGGAUAACCUACCUAUAAGACUGGGAUAACUUCGGGAAACCGGAGCUAAUACCGGAUAACAUAUUGAACCGCAUGGUUCAAUAGUGAAAGGCGGCUUUGCUGUCACUUAUAGAUGGAUCCGCGCCGUAUUAGCUAGUUGGUAAGGUAACGGCUUACCAAGGCAACGAUACGUAGCCGACCUGAGAGGGUGAUCGGCCACACUGGAACUGAGACACGGUCCAGACUCCUACGGGAGGCAGCAGUAGGGAAUCUUCCGCAAUGGGCGAAAGCCUGACGGAGCAACGCCGCGUGAGUGAUGAAGGUCUUCGGAUCGUAAAACUCUGUUAUCAGGGAAGAACAAAUGUGUAAGUAACUGUGCACAUCUUGACGGUACCUGAUCAGAAAGCCACGGCUAACUACGUGCCAGCAGCCGCGGUAAUACGUAGGUGGCAAGCGUUAUCCGGAAUUAUUGGGCGUAAAGCGCGCGUAGGCGGUUUUUUAAGUCUGAUGUGAAAGCCCACGGCUCAACCGUGGAGGGUCAUUGGAAACUGGAAAACUUGAGUGCAGAAGAGGAAAGUGGAAUUCCAUGUGUAGCGGUGAAAUGCGCAGAGAUAUGGAGGAACACCAGUGGCGAAAGCGACUUUCUGGUCUGUAACUGACGCUGAUGUGCGAAAGCGUGGGGAUCAAACAGGAUUAGAUACCCUGGUAGUCCACGCCCGUAACGAUGAGUGCUAAGUGUUAGGGGGUUUCCCGCCCCUUAGUGCUGCAGCUAACGCAUUAAGGCACUCCCGCCUGGGGGAGUACGACCGCAAGGUUGAAACUCAAAGGAAUUUGACGGGGACCCGCCACAGGCGGUGGGAGCAUGUGGAUUUAAGUCCGAGCCACGCGAAGAACGUUAACAGAAUCCUGACAUCCCUUUGGAACUGCUCUAGAAGAAUGAGUCAUCCCCUCGGGGGACAAAGU
rnacentral:rRNA from 1 species